GAUGAACGCUGGCGGCGUGCUUAACACAUGCAAGUCGAACGGUGAAGCCAAGCUUGCUUGGUGGAUCAGUGGCGAACGGGUGAGUAACACGUGAGCAACCUGCCCUGGACUCUGGGAUAAGCGCUGGAAACGGCGUCUAAUACUGGAUAUGAGACGUGAUCGCAUGGUCAACGUUUGGAAAGAUUUUUCGGUCUGGGAUGGGCUCGCGGCCUAUCAGCUUGUUGGUGAGGUAAUGGCUCACCAAGGCGUCGACGGGUAGCCGGCCUGAGAGGGUGACCGGCCACACUGGGACUGAGACACGGCCCAGACUCCUACGGGAGGCAGCAGUGGGGAAUAUUGCACAAUGGGCGGAAGCCUGAUGCAGCAACGCCGCGUGAGGGAUGACGGCCUUCGGGUUGUAAACCUCUUUUAGCAGGGAAGAAGCGAAAGUGACGGUACCUGCAGAAAAAGCGCCGGCUAACUACGUGCCAGCAGCCGCGGUAAUACGUAGGGCGCAAGCGUUAUCCGGAAUUAUUGGGCGUAAAGAGCUCGUAGGCGGUUUGUCGCGUCUGCUGUGAAAUCCCGAGGCCCAACCUCGGGCCUGCAGUGGGUACGGGCAGACUAGAGUGCGGUAGGGGAGAUUGGAAUUCCUGGUGUAGCGGUGGAAUGCGCAGAUAUCAGGAGGAACACCGAUGGCGAAGGCAGAUCUCUGGGCCGUAACUGACGCUGAGGAGCGAAAGGGUGGGGAGCAAACAGGCUUAGAUACCCUGGUAGUCCACCCCGUAAACGUUGGGAACUAGUUGUGGGGACCAUUCCACGGUUUCCGUGACGCAGCUAACGCAUUAAGUUCCCCGCCUGGGGAGUACGGCCGCAAGGCUAAAACUCAAAGGAAUUGACGGGGACCCGCACAAGCGGCGGAGCAUGCGGAUUAAUUCGAUGCAACGCGAAGAACCUUACCAAGGCUUGACAUACGCCAGAACGGGCCAGAAAUGGUCAACUCUUUGGACACUGGUGAACAGGUGGUGCAUGGUUGUCGUCAGCUCGUGUCGUGAGAUGUUGGGUUAAGUCCCGCAACGAGCGCAACCCUCGUUCUAUGUUGCCAGCACGUAAUGGUGGGAACU
rnacentral:rRNA from 1 species